rnacentral:lncRNA from 1 species
CAUAACUUCCUCUUCCCACUGGAGUUCGUUCAGGAAGCCAGAACCAGCAUGGGGAUGCUCAGGCCUCCAAGAUCCCCUAGGACCAUGGGCAGGCCACCCCUCAGCCCAGCUUUUGCCUACUUUGAAGACCUCAAGGACAAGAGGGCCCUAAUCUUACCGAGCCAGGCCCUCCUCAAUCCAAGGCCUUCUUAGGCGUUGCCAAGGAAACUGAUGCAGCAGCCAAAGAGCCUGGCCCAGGUCUCCAUGACAA